UAAGGGGGAGAAGUGCUCUCAAGACUCAAGAGAUAGCUUGGAGUUGAGGUGUGGAGGAAAUGAAGGGAUGAAGGGGCCUUUUAUAGGCAGCCAAAGGGAGGGGAUGUUGGCCUUGGUCCAAGGCGAUUGGUAUAAGGUGGUGUAAGAAGCUAAAAUUUCCAAAUUUGCACUCCAUCACUUGUGUCAUCUUGUGUAGACCAAAACAGUGCCCUAAACCACCAUGAUUUCAC